GUGCUCGCUUUGGCAGCACAUAUACUAAAAUUGGAACGAUACAGAGAAGAUUAGCACGGCCCCUGCGCAAGGAUGACAUGCAAAUUUGUGAAGUGUUCCAUAUUUUU
rnacentral:snRNA from 1 species